AUGGGAGAUGGCACCAAGAAGAGCAAGCUAUCAUGGUCUAACUCCAAGAGCCUCGUGAGGAAGUGGUUCAACAUCAGGGGGAAGUCCCAUGACUUCCAUGCCGAUGACGCUGCUGCCAUUGGCAGGAGACGAGGAGGAGGGGACAGCGAGUGGAUGAGCGGCAGCUUUUCCAGGCGGGAAUCCUGCACGGUCAAGAAGAGCAGGACAGAGAGGAGGAGCUCGCACGAGCGGUCGCAGCGGAGCAAGAUCGACCUCGACGCCGCCGAGGCCACAGUCACCUUGGACUACAGGAUCUUUGUUGCUACGUGGAAUUUAGGUGGUCGCGCGCCGCCCUGCUCCCUGGGCCUCCACGACUGGCUCCACACCUCGCCGCCGGCGGACAUCUACGUCCUCGGGUUCCAGGAGAUCGUGCCGCUGAACGCAGGCAACGUGCUGGGCGCCGAGGACAACGGCCCGGCGCGCAAGUGGGUGUCACUGGUCCGGCGGACGCUGAACAGCAUGCCGGGGAGUGGCAGCGGCAGCGGCAGCGCGACUCUGCAUACGCCGUCACCGGCGCCCAACGUGGUGGUGGAGAUGGACGACGACUUCCAAGGGUCGUCGAGGCGGGACAACCCGUCCUUGUUCCACCGUCGGUCAUUCCAGGCCGGGCGCAGCCGGAGCCUGAGGAUGGAGGGCGACAUCCUCGCCCCCAGGCUCGACCGCCGGUACAGCGUCAACGACCGCGUCAUGUACGGCAGCAGGCCGAGCGACUACGAAGCCAACUACCACCGGUGGGAGGACGAGAACAACGACGGCGAGUCGCCCAGCACGGUGUUCUCGCCGAUGUCGUAUGGGUAUGGCAAUGCGCCACCGUACGUGGAAGAAACCAAUGGGACGGCUGCUGGCCACACGAGGUACUGCCUUGUUGCAAGCAAGCAAAUGGUUGGGUUGUUCCUCAUGGUUUGGGCUAGGAGAGAAAUAAAGAGUGACAUACGGAAUCUCAAGGUCUCUUGUGUCGGCAGAGGAUUGAUGGGGUAUCUUGGAAACAAGGGCUCGAUUUCCGUUAGCAUGCUAUUGCACCAAACGAGCUUCUGCUUCGUCUGCAGUCACCUGACAUCAGGGCACAAGGACGGCGACGAGCACCGCCGGAAUUCUGAUGUCAUGGAAAUCCUGAGAAAAACCAGGUUUCCAAUGGUUUAUGGGCAAUAUGAAAGAUCGGCUGAAACUGUCCUAGAGCAUGAUCGAAUCGUUUGGCUUGGGGACCUGAAUUACCGGAUAGCGCUUUCUUACCGGGCAGUGAAGGCCCUUGUGGAGAUGCGCGACUGGAAAGCAUUGUUAGAGAAAGAUCAGCUGAGGAGCGAGCAAAGAGGCGGCCGCGUCUUCCCCGGUUGGAAUGAGGGGAGGAUAUACUUCCCGCCGACAUACAAAUACUCGAAUAACUCUGACAAAUAUGCAGGGGAAGACAUGAAUCAGAAGGAGAAGAAGAGAACACCUGCAUGGUGCGACCGUAUUUUGUGGUACGGGAGAGGCCUUAGCCAACUAUCCUAUGUCCGGGGAGAGUCGCGCUUCUCUGACCAUAGACCUGUGUACAGCAUGUUCAGUGCAGAAGUAGAGUCCAUCAAUCACAGCCGGAUACAGAAGAUGAGUUCUUCAAGCUCGCAACUCGACAUCGAGGAAUUGCUGCCCUAUUCAUAUGGGUACACCGACAUCAACCCGUAUGGAUACACUGAUCUUAAUUUCUACUAG
rnacentral:rRNA from 1 species